AGGAGAAUAACAGCGUAAUUCUCCUUGGGCAGAAAAUCUAAGCAGCUCCACGAUUUUGGAGCGCGUUUAUAAUUCUGCCAAAGGAGAAUUGCCCUGCCAUUCUAAA
rnacentral:pre_miRNA from 11 species